GACGAACGCUGGCGGCGUGCCUAAUACAUGCAAGUUGAGCGAUGAAGAUUGGUGCUUGCACCAAUUUGAAGAGCAGCGAACGGGUGAGUAACGCGUGGGGAAUCUGCCUUUGAGCGGGGGACAACAUUUGGAAACGAAUGCUAAUACCGCAUAAUAACUUUAAACAUAAGUUUUAAGUUUGAAAGAUGCAAUUGCAUCACUCAAAGAUGAUCCCGCGUUGUAUUAGCUAGUUGGUGAGGUAAAGGCUCACCAAGGCGAUGAUACAUAGCCGACCUGAGAGGGUGAUAGGCCAAAUUGGGACUGAGACACGGCCCAAACUCCUACGGGAGGCAGCAGUAGGGAAUCUUCGGCAAUGGACGAAAGUCUGACCGAGCAACGCCGCGGGAGUGAAGAAGGUUGUCGGAUCGUAAAACUCUGUUGGUAGGGAAGAACGUUGGUGAGAGUGGAAAGCUCAUCAAGUGACGGUAACUACCCAGAAAGGGACGGCUAACUACGUG
rnacentral:rRNA from 1 species